CAAUAACAUUCAAGCCAUUGCCAAAUGAGUUGCUACAAAGCUAAUUGAGACUAUCAUCUCCACAUAACUCUCUCUAUUUCUUAGCAUAGCUGCUUAAAAGAAUGUG